rnacentral:rRNA from 1 species
CCUUGCAUGUCUAAGUAUAAGCAAUAUACCGUGAAACUGCGAAUGGCUCAUUAAAUCAGUUAUCGUUUAUUUGAUAAUACCUUACUACUUGGAUAACCGUGGUAAUUCUAGAGCUAAUACAUGCUGAAAAUCCCGACUUCGGAAGGGAUGUGUUUAUUAGAUAAAAAACCAAUGCCCUUCGGGGCUCUUUGGUGAUUCAUGAUAACUUUACGGAUCGCAUAGCCUUGCGCUGGCGACGGUUCAUUCAAAUUUCUGCCCUAUCAACUUUCGAUGGUAAGGUAUUGGCUUACCAUGGUUUCAACGGGUAACGGGGAAUUAGGGUUCGAUUCCGGAGAGGCAGCCUGAGAAACGGCUACCACAUCCAAGGAAGGCAGCAGGCGCGCAAAUUACCCAAUCCCGACACGGGGAGGUAGUGACAAUAAAUACUGAUACAGGGCUCUUUUGGGUCUUGUAAUUGGAAUGAGUACAAUUCAAAUCUCUUUACGAGGAACAAUUGGAGGGCAAGUUUGGUGCCAGCAGCCGCGGUAAUUCCAGCUCCAAUAGCGUAUAUUAAAGUUGUUGCAGUUAAAAAGCUCGUAGUUGAAACUUGGGCCUGGCUGGCGGGUCCGCCUCACCGCGUGCACUCGUCCGGCCGGGCCUUCCUUCUGAAGAACCUCAUGCCCUUCACUGGGCGUGCUGGGGAAUCAGGACUUUUACUUUGAAAAAAUUAGAGUGUUCAAAGCAGGCCUUUGCUCGAAUACGUUAGCAUGGAAUAAUAAAAUAGGGCGUGCGUUUCUAUUUUGUUGGUUUCUAGAGACGCCGCAAUGAUUAACAGGGACAGUCGGGGGCAUCAGUAUUCAGUUGUCAGAGGUGAAAUUCUUGGAUUUACUGAAAAUAACUACUGCAAAAGCAUUUGCCAAGGAUUUUUCAUUAACAGUGAACAAAAGUUAGGGGAUCAAAACAAUCAGAUACCGUCGUAGUCUUAACCGUAAACUAUGCCGACUAGGGAUCGGGCGAUGUUCUUUUUCUGACUCGCUCGGCACCUUACAAGAAAUCAAAGUUUUUGGGUCUGGGGGGGAUUAUGGUCGCAAGGCUGAAACUUAAAGAAAUUGACGGAAGGUCACCACCAGGCGUUGAACCUGCGGCUUAAUUUUGACUCACCACGGGGAAACUCACCAGGUCCAGAUGAAUAACGAUCACAGAUUGAGAGCUCUUUCUUGAUUUUUCAGGUGGUGGUGCAUGGCCGUUCUUUAGUUCGUGGGGUGACUUGUCUGCUUAAUUGCGAUAACGAGCGAGACCUUACUCUGCUAAAUAGCCAGGCUAGCUUUGGCUGGUCGCCGGCUUCUUAGAGAGACUAUCAACUCAAGUUGAUGGAAGUUUGAGGCAAUAACAGGUCUGUGAUGCCCUUAGAUGUUCUGGGCCGCACGCGCGCUACACUGACAGAGCCAACGAGUUCUUCACCUUGACCGAAAGGUCUGGGUAAUCUUGUUAAACUCUGUCGUGCUGGGGAUAAAGCAUUGCAAUUAUGUGCUUUUCAACGAGGAAUGCCUAGUAAGGGCGCGUUAUCAGCAUGCGUUGAUUACUCCCUGACCUUUGUACAAACCGCCCCGUCGCUACUACCGAUUGAAUGGCUCAGUGAGGCGUUAUGGACUGGCUCGGGGAGGUUGGCAACGACCACCCCAAGCCGGAAAGUU